rnacentral:lncRNA from 1 species
GCCCCCACAGCCCUGUUAGGAAUAGGGGAAGAACCUCAUCCUAACCUGAACUGAAAUCGACUACAUCAGAAAUAGGGGAAGAACCUUAUCCUGGCACCAACUAAGAUUCGACCAUUCGAGACCUGAUAAGAAAGAAGAGAACCUUCUCGAUGGCCCUUCUACGCUACCGCGACCCCGUAAAAGGCUAAGGAGAACCCCUGCUUAAAAGGAGGG